rnacentral:tRNA from 1 species
GGGGGCGUAGCUCAGAUGGUAGAGCGCUCGCUUAGCAUGCGAGAGGUACGGGGAUCGAUGCCCCGCGCCUCCA